CUCACUAUAGUUUAUUGUAAAACAUCGACUUGCAAAAUCGAAAAAGGAUAGAUAUCUUAGUGUGU
rnacentral:tRNA from 1 species